GAGUGAGCGGCAAAGCUCAAAUUUGAAAUCCUCAGGGAAUUGUAAUUUGAAGGUGGUCUCAGUUAGUUCAAACAUUCUUAAGUCCAUUGGAAAAUGGCGCCAUGGAGGGUGAUAGCCCCGUAAAGAAUUCGUUUUGAUCUAUUUUUCUUUGACCACCAAAGAGUCGAGUUGUUUGGGAAUGCAGCUCUAAGUGGGUGGUAAAUUCCAUCUAAAGCUAAAUAUUGGCGAGAGACCGAUAGCGAACAAGUACAGUGAUGGAAAGAUGAAAAGCACUUUGAAAAGAGAGUGAAAAAGUACGUGAAAUUGUUGAAAGGGAAGGGCUUGCAAGCAGACACAACCUUUUUGGUUGGGCCAGCAUCGGGGCGAGGGGAAGGAAAAAAGAAAAGGAAAUGUAGCUCUCGAGUAUUAUAGACCUCUUCCAUAACUUCCAUCUCAUCCCGAGGCCUGCGGAUUUAAUCCUAGGAUGCUGGCGUAAUGGUUGCAAGUCGCCCGUCUUGAAACACGGACC
rnacentral:rRNA from 1 species